rnacentral:rRNA from 1 species
CGCGUAGGCGGCGGAUCAAGUUAGGCGUGAAAGGCCUGGGCUCAACCUGGGAACUGCGCUUGAUACUGGUUUGCUGGAGUCCGGGAGAGGGUGGUGGAAUUCCAAGUGUAGAGGUGAAAUUCGUAGAUAUUUGGAGGAACACCGGUGGCGAAGGCGGCCACCUGGCCCGGCACUGACGCUGAGGCGCGAAAGCGUGGGGAGCAAACA